UAGGGAAACCGAGUCUUAACCGGGCGUUAAGUUGCAGGGUAUAGACCCGAAACCCGGUGAUCUAGCCAUGGGCAGGUUGAAGGUUGGGUAACACUAACUGGAGGACCGAACCGACUAAUGUUGAAAAAUUAGCGGAUGACCUGUGGCUGGGGGUGAAAGGCCAAUCAAACCGGGAGAUAGCUGGUUCUCCCCGAAAGCUAUUUAGGUAGCGCCUCGUGAAUUCAUCUCCGGGGGUAGAGCACUGUUUCGGCUAGGGGGCCAUCCCGGCUUACCAACCCGAUGCAAACUGCGAAUACCGGAGAAUGUUAUCACGGGAGACACACGGCGGGUGCUAACGUCCGUCGUGAAGAGGGAAACAACCCAGACCGCCAGCUAAGGUCCCAAAGUCAUGGUUAAGUGGGAAACGAUGUGGGAAGGCCCAGACAGCCAGGAUGUUGGCUUAGAAGCAGCCAUCAUUUAAAGAAAGCGUAAUAGCUCACUGGUCGAGUCGGCCUGCGCGGAAGAUGUAACGGGGCUAAACCAU
rnacentral:rRNA from 1 species